rnacentral:rRNA from 1 species
AUGUACAUUCCUACAACAUAACGUUGAUGCACCAGAUCCCAUUAGAACUCAACAGUUAAGCACGCUCAGGUUAGAGUAGUACUAGGAUGGGUGACUGCCUGAGAAUUCGUAGUGGUUUACAUU